CGAAAGCCCCUCGCUUACACCGAGAAAAUGUCUAUUUAACCCAGACUAUUUUGA
rnacentral:tRNA from 1 species